GACGAACGCUGGCGGCGUGCCUAAUACAUGCAAGUGGGACGCAAGGAAACACACUGUGCUUGCACACCGUGUUUUCUUGAGUCGCGAACGGGUGAGUAACGCGUAGGUAACCUGCCUAUUAGCGGGGGAUAACUAUUGGAAACGAUAGCUAAUACCGCAUAAUAUUAAUUAUUGCAUGAUAAUUGAUUGAAAGAUGCAAGCGCAUCACUAGUAGAUGGACCUGCGUUGUAUUAGCUAGUUGGUAAGGUAAGAGCUUACCAAGGCGACGAUACAUAGCCGACCUGAGAGGGUGAUCGGCCACACUGGGACUGAGACACGGCCCAGACUCCUACGGGAGGCAGCAGUAGGGAAUCUUCGGCAAUGGACGAAAGUCUGACCGAGCAACGCCGCGUGAGUGAAGAAGGUUUUCGGAUCGUAAAGCUCUGUUGUAAGUCAAGAACGUGUGUGAGAGUGGAAAGUUCACACAGUGACGGUAGCUGACCAGAAAGGGACGGCUAACUACGUG
rnacentral:rRNA from 1 species